AUGGACCUUAUCCCCGUCGCCGGCCGCACCCUGAAAACCAACAUCACCGCCAUUGCACCAAUCGUGCUCCCAAUCUCCGAGCAACUUUUCUUUGCAAUGUCUUUCGUGGCACAAAAACUAUCCAGCGGGCGUGUUAGGUUGUACGUCCCCAACUUCCUCACGGCUUUUGAGCAUUGCUGCAUACACGCUGGUGGGUCUGCGGUUAUCGACGAGGUUCAACGCAGUCUUGGCCUGUCAGACAAGCAUGUUGAGCCAUCAAGAAUGACGCUGCACCGCUUCGGAAACAUAUCCAGCAGUUCAGUUUGGUAUGAGCUAGCAUAUACCGAGGCCAAGGGUCGUAUGCAUGAGGGUGAUCGCAUAUGGAUGAUCGGGUUUGGCUCCGGCUUCAAAUGCAACAGUGCGGUGUGGGAGUGCAUCGUCCCAGCCCCCAAUAGCAAUGGACCAUGGGCUGGGUGCAUCCACCGCUAUCCAGUGCAUAUUAAGUCUCCAAAAGCAAGGCCGCGGCAAUAA
rnacentral:rRNA from 1 species